rnacentral:tRNA from 1 species
GAGGGUGUAGCUCAAGUGGUAGAGCACCUGCAUAGCAUGCAUGAGGUUCUGGGUUCAAUCCUCAGUCCCUCCA